rnacentral:rRNA from 1 species
UACAGAGGUCUCAAGCGUUGUUCGGAUUCAUUGGGCGUAAAGGGUGUGUAGGUGGCGCGCUAAGUCGGGUGUGAAAUUUCGGAGCUUAACUCCGAAACUGCAUUCGAUACUGGCGUGCUUGAGGACUGGAGAGGAGACUGGAAUUAUCGGUGUAGCAGUGAAAUGCGUAGAGAUCAUGAGGAAGACCAGUGGCGAAGGCGGGUCUCUGGACAGUUCCUGACACUGAGGCACGAAGGCCAGGGGAGCAAACGGGAUUAG